rnacentral:rRNA from 1 species
AUUGAACGCUGGCGGCAUGCUUUACACAUGCAAGUCGAACGGUAACAGGUUAAGCUGACGAGUGGCGAACGGGUGAGUAAUGCAUCGGAACGUGCCCGAUCGUGGGGGAUAACGCAGCGAAAGCUGCGCUAAUACCGCAUACGAUCUGAGGAUGAAAGCGGGGGGCCGUAAGGCCUCGCGCGAUCGGAGCGGCCGAUGUCAGAUUAGGUAGUUGGUGGGGUAAAGGCUCACCAAGCCGACGAUCUGUAGCUGGUCUGAGAGGACGACCAGCCACACUGGGACUGAGACACGGCCCAGACUCCUACGGGAGGCAGCAAUGGGGAAUUUUGGACAAUGGGCGCAAGCCUGGUCCAGCAAUGCCGCGUGCAGGAUGAAGGCCUUCGGGUUGUAAACUGCUUUUGUACGGAACGAAAAGCCCUGGGUUAAUACCCUGGGGUCAUGACGGUACUGUAAGAAUAAGCACCGGCUAACUACGUGCCAGCCGCCGCCGUAAAAC